UUUACCGAACGCUUCAGGACCCGACACAACCGCGGCCUCUGGAGUGGAAGGGAGCCCUGCGCGCCCGGGCAGAUACUCUCCGCGGCCACCAGAUGGCGAAGGCUGCUCGCCGCCCGGGGGAGAAAGGCUCGCGCGUCUUGGCGCGGAAUCCGCGGCGAGACUCCAAGGCCAAGGGCAAGGCGCUCCGCCAGUGCGCGGAAAGAUGCGGCGAGCCUAAAGUGACGGAAGUUGCUAUGGGAGUCCACAAGCUUAUGGGAGCAAGUUUAGGGCUUUUUAAGGAGGCCGGGGCGUGAGGGGAUUAAAGUGGGGGGGGGGGUGCGCGCCGUGUUGCCUAAAAUAAACAGUGACUCGCGCUCCGGGGUGGGUCCACGGAUCCCUCAGAAGCCCUUUGGGGACCAUCGCCCAGGGCCUGCUCUGUAUGUGGCGCAGCUAAUCCUUCCCCCGGGGAACUUGAUGCGCUUCUUUGGCCAAGCUCAAAGGAUUCCGAGGGCCAAGGAGAAAGGGGGGAAGGAGUAAAUGAAUCUCCAGGAGAGGAGGUUUAUUUUUCUUUUAAGCCGUAAUAAGGGGAAAUUCGGUGGCCAUCAAGCGCCUCCCGAUGAUGCCGGCAUCUCCGCGAGUGAAAGCCAAACUUUUCUUUUGGAGUCGGCGUGCAGUGGAGUGCGGGACCUUGCGGCGCGAACACGAGAAAAGGGAUGCGGCCGGCGUCCAGGCCAAUGGAAAAUGGGUGGCUUUAAUUCCUGCCCCUACUGGAGUCUCAAUUUCGAUUAAACUCAAGGGGCAUGCGA